UUCCAGACUCCUACGGGAGGCAGCAGUGAGGAAUAUUGGUCAAUGGCCGAGAGGCUGAACCAGCCAAGUCGCGUGAGGGAAGACGGCCCUACGGGUUGUAAACCUCUUUUGUCGGGGAGCAAAGCGAACCACGUGUGGUUCAUUGAGAGUACCCGAAGAAAAAGCAUCGGCUAACUCCGUGCCAGCAGCCGCGGUAAUACGUAGGUGGCAAGCGUUGUCCGGAUUUACUGGGUGUAAAGGGCGUGCAGCCGGAGAGACAAGUCAGAUGUGAAAUCCACAGGCUCAACCUGUGAACUGCAUUUGAAACUGUUUCCCUUGAGUAUCGGAGAGGUCAUCGGAAUUCCUAGUGUAGCGGUGAAAUGCGUAGAUAUUAGGAAGAACACCAGUGGCGAAGGCGGAUGACUGGACGACAACUGACGGUGAGGCGCGAAAGCGUGGGGAGCAAACAGGAUUAGAUACCCGAGUAUA
rnacentral:rRNA from 1 species